GUUUCCUGACUUGCGACGUACCAGAUAUAAAAAACACCGUCGCAAUAAGACUUUGCUUCUGCGUCGCUAGAGCAAAGGAAAGCGCGGCCUGCAAGUCAUUAUUUUACAUUCUUCUACAUCGCAGAACUGGGGAAAUCUUCGUGACACUAUAUAAUUUCGGGGACAGGGAUGCGUCACUCAGACAACCGGAACAGUCUGUAUUUACCUCUAUCGUUAGAAACCGAUAUGAGGGUAUGAUACAGAGACAUACCUGUGAAAGCGACAGCCUUUCCCUACAAUUGGACUUCAUGGAAAACCUGGAAUUCGCAUGUGUGAUUGACCUUUGUCGCAGGUGCGGUUCAAUGUACGCGGAAGUUGAUUCGUCUCCUCGCUUAGCGCUUAUUAAAAACCUUUACAAACAUAACUGUGAACAUGAGGAUAGAAAUGGCCUGACGGUUAGACCUUGAGCAUCUUUAAUUACCCUGAAUCAUAACCAUUUUUAAGGUUUUCUUAGGCAACGCGACAGGUACUACGGAUUUCGUUAAACCUUUUUCGAUUUCCAUGGACGGAGUUCCAUAUCUGAUUAUUUUCGGUGUCACGGAUUGUGGUAAGCUAUCAUCAAACAACAACGAGGAAGCUUAUUUGAUUGACAUAACAUAGAAGAAAUUCUGCAUUACGCGUACAUUUUAUGCUGGAUACGUUUCAACGUUGACUUACCCUAGAUCAUGGGAGUGAAGAUAAUUCAAAAUAUAACUCCGUCUACGGAAAACAAAAGAGCUUUCACUGAUUCUAUUUAUGGAACAUGAUUGGUUCACCUAGCCAGCACGAUCCGAUUGUUGGGGAAUAACUCUCGUACGUACAUAAUUUACAUGCCACAAUACAACAGUUGGUACGAAGUCGAAACACGGUGUUGAAUAAUGAAUCCG
rnacentral:lncRNA from 1 species